AUUGAACGCUGGCGGCAGGCUUAACACAUGCAAGUCGAACGGUAACAGGAAGAAAGCUUGCUUUCUUUGCUGACGGGUGGCGGACGGGUGAGUAAUGCUUGGGAAUCUGCCUUAUGGAGGGGGAUAACUACGGGAAACUGUAGCUAAUACCGCGUAAUGUCUACGGACUAAAGUACGGGAUCUUCGGACCAUAUGCCAUAAGAUGAGCCCAAGUGAGAUUAGGUAGUUGGUGAGGUAAAGGCUCACCAAGCUGACGAUCUCUAGCUGGUUUGAGAGGAUGACCAGCCACACUGGAACUGAGACACGGUCCAGACUCCUACGGGAGGCAGCAGUGGGGAAUAUUGCACAAUGGGCGCAAGCCUGAUGCAGCCAUGCCGCGUGAAUGAAGAAGGCUUUCGGGUUGUAAAGUUCUUUCAGCGAUGAGGAAGGUUGUGUAUCUAAUAGGUAUGCAAAUUGACGUUAGUCGCAGAAGAAGCACCGGCUAACUCCGUGCCAGCAGCCGCGGUAAUACGGAGGGUGCGAGCGUUAAUCGGAAUAACUGGGCGUAAAGGGCACGCAGGCGGUUGUCUAAGUCAGAUGUGAAAGCCCCGAGCUUAACUUGGGAAUUGCAUUUGAGACUGGGCGACUAGAGUCCUCUAGGGAGGGGUAGAAUUCCACGUGUAGCGGUGAAAUGCGUAGAGAUGUGGAGGAAUACCGAAGGCGAAGGCAGCCCCUUGGAGAGAGACUGACGCUGAGGUGCGAAAGCGUGGGUAGCAAACAGG
rnacentral:rRNA from 1 species